CCAGAGCAUUCCCACUCUUUGGCUCAUCAAUCUGCAGUAACUCCAUCUCCCCCAUUCACUUCUCACUUUCACUAUUCUAUUGCAACUUCAGGAACUCAAGUUCACCAUACAUCUUGAUCAAGCAAAACCACCAAAACACAAUCACACCAAACAAAUCCAAAAUCAGGUUCGAGUAACCAAGGGCAUUAGAGCUUCAAGCAGAGCAAGCACUGAAUCUCCACAUCGAGGUGGGUUUAUUUUACAUACAAUGUAUCUUGAGUUAUAUAAGCUCUGAUAUUUCAUGAAAAUUAUCUGUUUAUCCAAUAUAAAUGUUUUUAUGUGCGUUCUGUAAUUGUUUAAGGCUCACUUAAAUAUCGAUCGAGAUUCUCAUUUGGCCUAACACGCUAAAUGAGGAUUGUGUACACAGGGUUAGUGGCUCGAUGGGUUGAUCACCAUCGUGCACUAACAUAUUUAGAACGUUAUAAGGGUGGGUGCUUGACAGGAGGUUAUCCGGAGCACGGUGCUUGACAGGAGGUUAUCCGGAGCACAGUUAAGGUUAUUGAUUCCGACCGGGUGCGUCCCGAGAUCAAUAACAGAUUUUGGAUCUGACUGGGUGCGUCCCGAGAUCAGUGAAUGUAGGGAGAAAGUGAGUAACAAUCGAACGUACAUGGGCGCCCUCGACAAGAAAAUAUUUUUGUCAUGCUUAGAAGUGGAUUUCUGUUUUUAAACCUUCUGAGUUAUGAUUUUGAUAUUGGAUAAACUGCCUUCUUAUUUCAUAAAAUAUUUCAAAAACUUGUGCCCACUGAGUACAUUAGUAUUCAGCCCAAAUAUUUUCAAAUGUUUUUCAGGUUAGGCGGCUGGUGCGCACGGUGCUGAGCUGGGGAGUGUUUCUUAUCCUGACGACUAGCUACUCCUUAGCUAAUCUAGUUGAAUUCCUGAAUAACUUCUAAAUCAAAUUCUGUUGAGCUCAGACUCAUUAUUUCUAUUCCGCUGCACUGUUGAAUGUUAAACUAUCAGGGUUGUGAAACUAAACCUCUUUAGAUCCUUGGGGAUUUUCUCCAUAUGAUGAACUCGUUCUAUGUCAUCAUUAACCAUCUUUAUAUUAAGCCAUUUUAUUUAUC